GACGAACGCUGGCGGCGUGCCUAAUACAUGCAAGUAGAACGCAGUUGCGAACGGGUGAGUAACGCGUAGGUAACUGCCUCAUAGCGGGGGAUAACUAUUGGAAACGAUAGCUAAUACCGCAUACUGUGAGAUGGAUCUGCGUUGUGUUAGCUAGUUGGUGGGGUAAAGGCUCACCAAGGCGGCGAUACAUAGCCGACCUGGGAGGGUGGACGGGCAAACUGGGACUGGGACACGGGCCAGGACUCUACGGGGAGGAGCAGGAGGGAAACUUCGGCAAUGGACGGAAGUCUGACCGAGCAACGCCGCGGGAGUGAAGGAGGUUUUCGGAUCGGAAAACUCUGUUGUUAGAGGAGCGGUAACUGACCAAGAAGGAACGGCUAACUACGUGCCAGCAGCCGCGGUAAUAC
rnacentral:rRNA from 1 species